AUCGCUUCUCUGCCUUUUGGCUAAGAUCAAGUGUAGUAUCUGUUCUUAUCAGUUGUCAGUAGUGUUGCUCACGAAUAUUCGUAUUGCGAAUAUUCGGCUCGAAUAUGGCAUAUUCGAGUAUUCGCGAAUAUCUCGAAUUUCGCGGUCAAUAUUCGCUAUUCUGAAUAUUCGAUUCAAUUUUAUUUUUAGAACAGAUCA